rnacentral:rRNA from 1 species
AUGGCCCUGGCUGGAAGGCUGCUCGUCCUCCUCGCCGUCGCGCUUCUCGCCGUCUCCAUCGCGGAGCACAAGGUGUUUGCCUCAGGAGCCGCAGAGCACGAGGAUAAUGUGUACCGAGUGAGCAAGGGAGGACAGGGCAGCCUCCAGCAAUACCAGUGCAAGCCGGCGUGCGAGUACCGGUGCAGCGACACCAAGUACAGGAAGCCGUGCCUCUUCUUCUGCAACAAGUGCUGCGACACCUGCCUGUGCGUGCCGUCGGGCUUCUACGGCCACAAGGACGAGUGCGCCUGCUACAACGACUGGAAGACCAAGGAGGGGCGCCCCAAGUGCCCCUAG